UACGAAAGGUGCGAGCGUUAAUCGGAAUUACUGGGCGUAAAGUGCGCGUAGGCGGUUUGCUAAGUCAGAUGUGAAAGCCCCGGGCUCAACCUGGGAACUGCAUUUGAAACUGGCAGGCUAGAAUGCAGUAGAGGGAGGUGGAAUUUCCGGUGUAGCGGUGAAAUGCGUAGAGAUCGGAAGGAACACCAGUGGCGAAGGCGGCCUCCUGGACUGACAUUGACGCUGAGGUGCGAAAGCGUGGGGAGCAAACAGGAUUAGAUACCCU
rnacentral:rRNA from 1 species